rnacentral:rRNA from 1 species
AUUACCGAGUGAGGGCCCUUUGGGUCCAACCUCCCACCCGUGUUUAUUUACCUCGUUGCUUCGGCGGGCCCGCCUUAACUGGCCGCCGGGGGGCUCACGCCCCCGGGCCCGCGCCCGCCGAAGACACCCCCGAACUCUGCCUGAAGAUUGUCGUCUGAGUGAAAAUAUAAAUUAUUUAAAACUUUCAACAACGGAUCUCUUGGUUCCGGCAUCGAUGAAGAACGCAGCGAAAUGCGAUACGUAAUGUGAAUUGCAAAUUCAGUGAAUCAUCGAGUCUUUGAACGCACAUUGCGCCCCCUGGUAUUCCGGGGGGCAUGCCUGUCCGAGCGUCAUUGCUGCCCUCAAGCCCGGCUUGUGUGUUGGGCCCCGUCCUCCGAUUCCGGGGGACGGGCCCGAAAGGCAGCGGCGGCACCGCGUCCGGUCCUCGAGCGUAUGGGGCUUUGUCACCCGCUCUGUAGGCCCGGCCGGCGCUUGCCGAUCAACCCAAAUUUUUAUCCAGGUUGACCUCGGAUCAGGUAGGGAUACCCGCUGAACUUAAG